UGAGUUGGUGCUGGUUCCCUAGGGGG
rnacentral:rRNA from 7 species